rnacentral:ncRNA from 1 species
GCAGAGUAGGAAGCUGCGGGUUAAGUGUCUGAAGGACGGGGAGUUGCCUUCGGAACGAAAAAAGGAUACAUCCUUUUGCCGUGUGGUUUCCGCAUCCCGCUGC